GGUAAGACCGAUGCUUUUCUUGACUCUUCAAAGGUCUUGGAAUAAGGGGUGGGUAAGGACGGUGCCAGCCGCCGCGGUAAUACCGGCGCCUCAAGUGGUAGUCGCUUUUAUUGGGCCUAAAACGUCCGUAGCCGGUUUGGUACAUUCGUGGGUAAAUCAAGGCGCUCAACGUCUUGAAUUCUGCGAGCACGGCCAGACUUGGGACCGGGAGAGGUGUGGGGUACGCUCAGGGUAGGGGUGAAAUCCUGUCAUCCUGAGCGGACCAUCUGUUGCGAAGGCGCCACACUAGAACGGAUCCGACGGUCAGGGACGAAGCCUAGGGGCACGAACCGGAUUAGAUACCCGGGUAGUCCUAGGUGUAAACGCUGUGGACUUGAUGUUGGGAGUGCUCCGAGCACCCUCAGUGUCGAAGCGAAGGUGAUAAGUCCACUGCCUGGGGAGUACGGUCGCAAGGCUGAAACUUAAAGGAAUUGGCGGGGGAGCACUGCAACCUGAGGAUUGUGCGGUUUAAUUGGAUUCAACGCCGGAAAACUCACCAUAGCCGACGGACAUAUGAAGGCCAGCGUAAUGAGCUUGCUGGAUUGUUCGAGAGGUAGUGCAUGGCCGUCGUCAGUUCGUACCGCAAGGCGUUCUGUUAAGUCAGAUAACGAACGAGACCCUCAUCCCUAUUUGCCAAGAUCUGUCCGCAGAUCACGGGACUAUAGGGAGACCGCUGGCGCGAAGUCAGAGGAAGGCGAGGGCAACGGUAGGUCAGUAUGCUCCGAAUGCUAUGGGCUACACGCGCAAUACAAAGGACGGGAC
rnacentral:rRNA from 1 species